rnacentral:lncRNA from 1 species
AGCAUAGUACAUCAGAAACAGCCCAAAAGCCCACCCACCAGAAAUGGGGUAGGUAAACUGUAGUGGAUCCAUGUAAUACAAUACUAUGCCACAGUGAAAAAGAAUAUGCUAGAACUCGAUGUCCCCACAUGGUAAAGUCUCCAAGACAUAUGUCAAAAACAAACUUGCUGGACAAUAUGUAUAGUGUGCUAUUUAUGUAAAAUCCAUAUAUAUGUUUGUGAUUACAUACUAAAAAUUCU